CUUUGACCUCACGGAAGCUCCUCAGGACGAUGGCAUCACAAGCCUGAAAGGGCUGUUGUGAAUCUUCAGUGCGUUCAUACAUGUCAAGCACUCAGGGACAGGCCCAAGCUCCAAGUAUGGCAUUAUGUGACAAACUCUGGCCAAUGGGACCUGAAGGGAAGUGACACGUGUCAUCAGAAGAGAGCGUGUUCCAGAUGCUAUAGCUACAAGAUUAUGAGAGCCCAUCAACUGAGGUCCCUGAGUGGAUAUUGGAACACAUGCUCCUGCCAACACACUUUGGAUAGAUUAUUGCGUUACCCUAGAGGUGAUAAUGGGCAUCGUUGUAUUAUUCCUGAUGUGAAUGGAAGUUCAUCUAGUGUUUCCCCAUCGAACAAGAAAUGGUUUUGGAGCUG
rnacentral:lncRNA from 1 species